CAAGAAGGUAAAAAGAGUACAGAUAGAAUUCCCGGUCCUAGCCCUGAAGGAGUUCACUGAUUCUAAUCUUUCCUGAAGUUACAACACUGUCCUAGACAGGCACACAAACACACAGAGCAAAGAAACGAAUUUCCUUGUUGAAAACAUGCCGACGCUUUCUGUAUUUACACUCAUGUUCACUCCAACGUCCAGCUCCAGGCUGGAGACCACACGAAGGAGGCAGAAGCGGGAGGCAGAAGGCAGGUUGGAACGCAUUUUAUCAUGGAUGGCCUUGCACAGUCACUAUUGACCCAGCAAGAUCCCAGGUGUCUCUCCCAGUCACUCCAGGAAGAUGGUGGUACUAUUUGUACAGCCCGGACGCUUCUGGCCCCACAACAUGCAAGGGCCCUGGGAGAAAGAAGGAAUGCUGUCUGAGGAUCUUUUCUUGACACCUUCUGGUAAAAUCAAGAAUUCCAGAGAACAUCAGCACUAAGCGUGCAGAGCCAGUGUCGGGGUUGGAACUGACUACCGGCGUGCAGGCUUGUACAAACGCUGCAUUUUCAAUACUCUUGAUGGCAGGAAAUAAUGACAGGCGGAAAAUUAUGAAUAUUCGUGAGUCCGAGAUUUAAAAAUGUGUAAGAAAAGGCAGAUUCUGUGAAGUUUUAGGAAUUCCUUUAUCAAUGUAUUAUAAGAUAUAUAUAUAUAUACACACACAUACACUCAUAUGGAACAUAUGUAUGCAGAUACAUGCCAACAGAGUUACAUUAGAAUCUACAUUUGUGUAUGUCUUAAAGAGUUUUUUAAAAUGUACAAAUCAAGCAUGGUCAUAACUGUUUCAGCAGCAUUUUUCAGUCGUGCGUACAGCUGUGGUGUAUCUCCCCAUCAACGGCUUUUAGAUUUAAUGGAAUAAAAUACUGGAUUUAAU
rnacentral:lncRNA from 1 species